rnacentral:tRNA from 1 species
GGUUGUAGCUCAGUGGCAGAGCACUCACCUAGCAUGUGCGAGGCCCUGGGUUUGAUCCUCAGCACCA